GUGCUGAUGAAGAGUCCCAAACUAGGACGAAACAGCUGUCCAGGAC
rnacentral:hammerhead_ribozyme from 1 species